UACGGAGGGUGCAAGCGUUAUCCGGAUUCACUGGGUUUAAAGGGUGCGUAGGAGGGCAGGUAAGUCAGUGGUGAAAUCUCCGGGCUUAACCCGGAAACUGCCGUUGAUACUAUUUGUCUUGAAUACCGUGGAGGUGAGCGGAAUAUGUCAUGUAGCGGUGAAAUGCUUAGAUAUGACAUAGAACACCAAUUGCGAAGGCAGCUCACUACACGGUCAUUGACUUUGAGGCACGAAAGCGUGGGGAUCAAACAGG
rnacentral:rRNA from 1 species